rnacentral:lncRNA from 1 species
GAAAAGGAUGCACAGAUUUUAGAUCAUCAGCAGACAUAUAGUCAACUAGAAGGAUCAAAAAAGGGGAGCAAAUUCACUGUUCCAACAGUUUCAGUCUCGGGUGAAGUUUCAAUUCCAUAUGGAAUGCAAAUACAUCCUGAAGAGGUAUAUCAACAAGCUCUUGAAGUCAGUCAACGUACAACAAAUAAAUGCCUAUCCUUUUCUAAAACAAAUCCAAAUUCUCAUCUCAAAAAAACAAUGCACGUCUCUGAAAAUUGCCAAGUUA